UACGUAGGGGGCAAGCGUUGUCCGGAAUCAUUGGGCGUAAAGAGCGUGUAGGCGGCUCGGUAAGUCCGCUCUGAAAGCCCGGGGCUCAACCCCGGGAGGCGGGCGGAUACUGUCGGGCUAGAGUCCGGGAGAGGGAUGCGGAAUUCCAGGUGUAGCGGUGAAAUGCGUAGAUAUCUGGAGGAACACCGGUGGCGAAGGCGGCAUCCUGGACCGGUAUUGACGCUGAGGCGCGAAAGCCAGGGGAGCAAACGGG
rnacentral:rRNA from 1 species